UCUCUCUCCAAGACACCAUUCUUCAUUUUCUUGUAUGGAACCCAGAAGUGGAUACAGUUCUCCAGCAGAGACCACACUCAUGCUGAGUAUCUGGGCUGCAUGCAUUAUCAGGGCAGUACGGAUCACUGCUAAAAAUGUUACAGAGCUUAGUGCCAGAGCUUCCUGGCCUCACUGGAAACACACAAGGACUGUUUGAAUGGGAGAUCGCAUCUGAGAUACAGUCUUUGACCAGAAAAAGCACACAGAGAAGCAAUAACAAGACACAGAAGGAAGAGGCAAAAAAUUGAAAAGAACAGAAGCCGUGAUGAAACAAGGCUCUGAAGACUCAGAAGCUGGAAGGAAUUAAUGUCAGAUAAUCAUAAAAGUAUACAUGAUUUGAUUGUAGCAGAAUUUUUUUGCAUUUCUCCCAAAAGGAUCACAAUGAAAUAUAAGAGGAAAAAAAAAAACAUAAAUGGGGCUUCAGAUUUCACUGAAGGGUAAAUCGGUGGGACUACUUCUGACUACUUUAGAAACUUCAUCAGAAACAAGAUUACAAAGCCAGAACUAUGAUUUUAACCAAUUCUUAUUGAUUUAGCUUCCACUAUUUUCCUUCCCUGAUUACUGACUCUGCUGUUUUAAAUUAUGGUUUUCCUCAUUUUUUUUUCUAUAUUUUUAAUCUUAACAUUAUUUGUAUGAUAGUUGUGCCUAGCAACUCCAUCGGAUAUCAUGGUCCCUUGUGUUAGGCAGUGUACAAAUGCAGAGCAUAACAGACUCCUUUCCCCAAUGCGUUUACAGACUAAUUAAAGGCACAUUAAGUGUGGGAGGAGAAACAGAGAGAGAAAGGUUAAGGGACUUGCCUAAUGUCUCCCAACAGAGUUGAAAGAGGCUCCCAGAGUCCCAGUCCAGUGCACUGUACCCUAAUGCAUCUCUUAGGACCUAUAAGAAAUUUCAGACUGCAUUUGUAAUAGCUUAUGACUUGUCUUCACUGUAGCACAGGGGUGAGCAAAAGGGCCUCUAAGGGCCAGAUCUGCCCCACUAAGUGGGUGGAUCCACCCUGUGGAGGUCCUGACACCCUCUUGCCCCCAGGUCUGGGGGCGGGGAAUGGGCAAAGUCUCCUCCCGCGCCAGAGAGAUGGGCACCCAGAGAGAACUGGGGGAGGGGGAAAGGAGGUCAAAGGCAGUCCCCCACCCUUAGAACAAUUAUGGUCUGGGGGUGGUGAACUCAGAAGUAUCCUGGCCGCACCCCUUCUACUUGAGGCACCGGCCCUUCGGCUGUGGGCCCGGAGCCACUUCAAAAAUUUCUGAAGUGGCCCCCAGCAAAAAAUUAUUAGUCACCCCUGCAGUAGCAGGUUUUAACUGCACUGUCCUCUGUGGG